rnacentral:rRNA from 1 species
GAUGAACGCUGGCGGCGUGCCUAAUACAUGCAAGUCGAGCGAACGGACGAGAAGCUUGCUUCUCUGAUGUUAGCGGCGGACGGGUGAGUAACACGUGGAUAACCUACCUAUAAGACUGGGAUAACUUCGGGAAACCGUAGCUAAUACCGGAUAAUAUUUUGAACCGCAUGGUUCAAAAGUGAAAGACGGUCUUGCUGUCACUUAUAGAUGGAUCCGCGCUGCAUUAGCUAGUUGGUAAGGUAACGGCUUACCAAGGCAACGAUGCAUAGCCGACCUGAGAGGGUGAUCGGCCACACUGGAGCGGAGACACGGUCCAGACUCCUACGGGAGGCAGCAGUAGGGAAUCUUCCGCAAUGGGCGAAAGCCUGACGGAGCAACGCCGCGUGAGUGAUGAAGGUCUUCGGAUCGUAAAACUCUGUUAUUAGGGAAGAACAUAUGUGUAAGUAACUGUGCACAUCUUGACGGUACCUAAUCAGAAAGCCACGGCUAACUACGUG